AAAGACACAAAUAUCAUCUUACAAAAGUUAACUCAAUCUUGAAACCUCUUUAUGUGCUUGGUAAAUUAAUUACCUUCAUAGGUUAUGUGAGGUGAAGUAAUUAAAUUUUCCUUUUUUUGGUAGGUCUUUCUUCCAGUAGAGAUAAUAAGAAAAGUAGGAGGAAAAGCAAGAGUUGGCCUUGUUUUUUGCUGAAAUGCAAGCAUCCAAUACAUUGUUUGUACGGUGGAGUAUACUGCUAUGUCUCUUGGUUUUUCUUCAUUUAGCAACGUUUUGUUUUUGCCAUGUUUUCAUGUCCCCCAGUUUCCCAUAGUGUAGAUAAUUUAACUCAUAUACUGAUCGUUGUUGAUGGGUGGGUGCUCGUUAAAUAGACACAUAAGGUGAUGCUAAUUUAGUCAUUUCGUGAUUUUAGGUAUUCUUCUCUGUUUCCAUUGACCCUUAGCUUUACCUCUUCCUUCUCUUGCUUAUCGAAAAAUAUAAUGUAUGCUUUCCUUUUUAUUUUGUGAUUUUAGGUAUUCUUCUGCUGCUUUGAGAUGAGAAGAGAUUACGCAGCUCCGAGCAGUCCAAUGCUUCUUUUUAAUUUGAUAUAUCAUUAACUAUAACAACUAGAUUACAUUGCACCGGAUGAUGAGUGACUAAUCCACAUGAAUUCAAUAAAAAGGGGAUACAUUUCUAUUCGUAUUUGGAUAGGUGGUUCGUGCUGCAGCUUACAUGUC